AUUGAACGCUGGCGGAAUGCUUUACACAUGCAAGUCGAACGAUGAACCUUAGCUUGCUAAGGGGAUUAGUGGCGAACGGGUGAGUAAUAUAUCGGAACGUACCUUGUAAUGGGGGAUAACUAGUCGAAAGAUUAGCUAAUACCGCAUACGCCCUGAGGGGGAAAGUAGGGGAUCUUCGGACCUUACGUUAUAAGAGCGGCCGAUAUCUGAUUAGCUAGUUGGUGGGGUAAUGGCCCACCAAGGCGACGAUCAGUAGCUGGUCUGAGAGGACGACCGGCCACACUGGAACUGAGACACGGUCCAGACUCCUACGGGAGGCAGCAGUGGGGAAUUUUGGACAAUGGGCGCAAGCCUGAUCCAGCCAUUCCGCGUGAGUGAAGAAGGCCUUCGGGUUGUAAAGCUCUUUCGCAAGGGAAGAAAACUUACAUUCUAAUAAAGUGUGAGGCUGACGGUACCUUGAUAAGGAGCACCGGCUAACUACGUGCCAGCCGCCGCGGUAA
rnacentral:rRNA from 1 species